rnacentral:rRNA from 1 species
GGCUUGUCAGAGGUUCGAAGGCGAUCAGAUACCGCCCUAGUUCUAACUAUAAACUAUGCCAACCAGCAAUCAGCUGGGGUCGUUUACCGAUUCCAUGCUGGACGCUUGCCCGGGAAACCAGAGUUUCUGGGUUCCGGGGGGAGUAUGGUUGCAAAGCUGAAACUUAAAGGAAUUGACGGAAGGGCACCACCAGGAGUGGAGCCUGCGGCUUAAUUUGACUCAACACGGGGAAGCUUACCCGGUCCGGACACUUUGACGAUUGACAGAUUGAGAGCUCUUUCUUGAUAAAGUGGUUGGUGGUGCAUGGCCGUUCUUAGUUCGUGGAGUGAUUUGUCUGGUUAUUUCCGAUAACGAACGAGACUCUAGCUUACUAAAUAGUCCGUGCGGCUGCGGCCGACACGGUGUUACUUCUUAGAAGGAUUUAUGGCGGUUCAGUCAUAAGAAAGAGAGCAAUAACAGGUCUGUGAUGCCCUUAGAUGUCCGGGGCCGCACGCGCGCUACACUGGAGCCCACAGUGAGCGUGCUACUUGCGUCGAAAGGCGUGAGGAAUCUCGUAAGCUUCUCCGUAUCUGGGAUUGCGGCAUGUAAUUGUGCCGCGUGAACGCGGAAUCUCGAGUAAGUGCCAAUCAUCAUUUCGCAUUGAUUACGUCCCUGCCCUUUGUACACACCGCCCGUCGCUACUACCGAUUGACUCGUCCAGUGAGGCAUCGGGACGGGCGCGGUGAGCUGUCUUCGGA